rnacentral:rRNA from 1 species
AUUGAACGCUGGCGGCAGGCCUAAAACAUGCAAGUCGAGCGGAGCUGCGGACGCGUGAGUAACGCCUAGGUAUCUGCCUGGUAGUGGGGGAUAACGUCCGGAAACGGGCGCUAAUACCGCUUACUAUCAUAUGAGCCUAGGUCUGAUCAUCUCGUUGGUGGGGUAUAGGCCUACCAAGGCGACGAUCCGGAACUGGUCUGAGAGGAUGAUUAGUCACACUGGAACUGGGACACGGUCCAGACUCCGACGGGAGGCAGAAGUGGGGAAUAUUGGACAAUGGGGGAAAGGCUGAUCCAGCCCGGCCGCGUGGGUGAAGAAGGUCUUCGGAUUGGAAAGCCCUUUAAGUUGGGAGGCGUUACCAACAGAAUAAGCACCGGCUAACUUCGUGCCAGCAGCCGCGGUAAUUC